rnacentral:rRNA from 1 species
UUGGAGGGCAAGUCUGGUGCCAGCAGCCGCGGUAAUUCCAGCUCCAAUAGCGUAUAUUAAAGUUGUUGCAGUUAAAAAGCUCGUAGUUGAAUUUCGGGGUUCUACCGUUGGUCGGGCUUUGUCUGUACUGGUGUGUAGAAUUUCUACCUUCUGGGGAACCAUCAUGCUAUUAAUUUAGCGUGGUGGGAAACCAGGACCUUUACCUUGAAAAAAUUAGUGUGUUCAAAGCAGGCUUAUGUCUGAAUACAUUAGCGUGGAAUAAUAGAAUAGGACGGUGGUCCUGUUUUGUUGGUUUCUGAAUCACCGUAAUGAUUAAUAGGGAUAGUUGGGGGCAUUAGUAUUCAAUUGUCAGAGGUGAAAUUCUUGGAUUUAUUGAAGACUAACUUCUGCGAAAGCAUUUGCCAAGGAUGUUUUCAUUAAUCAAGAACGAAAGUUAGGGGAUCGAAGACGAUCAGAUACCGUCGUAGUCUUAACCAUAAACUAUGCCGACUAGGGAUCGGACGAGGUUAAUUUUUCUUGACUCGUUCGGCGCCUUACGGGAAAC